rnacentral:ncRNA from 1 species
CAAAGGCUUGGUCCUGACUUUAUUAUCAGCUUUAACACAACUUACACAUGCAAGUCUCCGCACCCCCGUGAGGAUGCCCUUAAUCCCCUGCCCGGGGACGAGGAGCAGGCAUCAGGCACAAACUAUUGGCCCAAGACGCCUUGCCACGCCACACCCCCAAGGGAAUUCAGCAGUGAUAGACAUUAAGCCAUAAGUGAAAACUUGACCUAAUUAGUGUUAUACUGGGCCGGUAAAACUCGUGCCAGCCACCGCGGUUAUACGAGAGGCCCUAGUUGAUAAACACGGCGUAAGGGGUGGUUAGGGAAGACAAAAAUAAAGCCAAAGAGCCCCUUAGCCGUCAUACGCUCUUGAAGACUUGAAGACCUAAAACGAAAGUAGCUUUAAAACACAUCUGCCUGACCCCACGAAAGCCAAGAAACAAACUGGGAUUAGAUACCCCACUAUGCUUGGCCAUAAACUUAGACGUUUCUCCACAACAAACGUCCGCCCGGGUACUACGAGCGUCAGCUUAAAACCCAAAGGACUUGGCGGUGCCUUAGAUCCCCCUAGAGGAGCCUGUUCUAGAACCGAUAACCCCCGUUAAACCUCACCACUCCUAGUCACCCCCGCCUAUAUACCGCCGUCGUCAGCUUACCCUAUGAAGGCCCCACAGUAAGCAGAGCGGGCACAGCCCAAAACGUCAGGUCGAGGUGUAGCGCAUGAAGUGGGAAGAAAUGGGCUACAUUUUCUUCUUAAAGAAUAACACGAACAGUAACAUGAAAAACCACUUGAAGGAGGAUUUAGAAGUAAAAAGGAAAUAGAGUGUCCUUUUGAACCCGGCUCUGAGGCGCGUACACACCGCCCGUCACUCUCCCCUGUCAAACAGCCGCCGAAGUUAUUAACCCAAAAGCACCGACAAGGGGAGGCAAGUCGUAACAUGGUAAGUGUACCGGAAGGUGCACUUGGAUCAAACAC